CGAAAGCCUGACGGAGCAAGACCGCGUGGGGGACGAAGGCUCUUGGGUUGUAAACCCCUUUUCUCAGGGAAGAAUAAAAUGACGGUACCUGAGGAAUCAGCAUCGGCUAACUCCGUGCCAGCAGCCGCGGUAAGACGGAGGAUGCAAGCGUUAUCCGGAAUUAUUGGGCGUAAAGCGUCCGCAGGUGGCUAUUCAAGUCUGCUGUCAAAGCCCGGGGCUUAACCCCAGAAAGGCAGUGGAAACUGAAAAGCUAGAGGGUGGUAGGGGCAGAGGGAAUUCCCAGUGUAGCGGUGAAAUGCGUAGAGAUUGGGAAGAACACCGGUGGCGAAAGCGCUCUACUGGACUGCAACUGACACUCAGGGACGAAAGC
rnacentral:rRNA from 1 species